rnacentral:rRNA from 1 species
CGAAUGGCUCAUUAAAUCAGUUAUCGUUUAUUUGAUAGUACCUUACUACUUGGAUAACCGUGGUAAUUCUAGAGCUAAUACGUGCUAAUAAUCCCGACUCACGAAGGGGUGUAUUAAUUAGAUUAAAAACCAAUGCCCUUCGGGGCUCUUUGGUGAUUCAUAAUAACUUCUCGAAUCGCAUGGCCUUGUGCCGGCGAUGGUUCAUUCAAAUUUCUGCCCUAUCAACUUUCGAUGGCAGGGUCUUGGCCUGCCAUGGUUACAACGGGUAACGGAGGGUUAGGGCUCGACCCCGGAGAAGGAGCCUGAGAAACGGCUACUACAUCCAAGGAAGGCAGCAGGCGCGCAAAUUACCCAAUCCCGAUUCGGGGAGGUAGUGACAAUAAAUACUGAUACAGGGCUCUUUUGGGUCUUGUAAUUGGAAUGAGUACAAUUUAAAUCCCUUAACGAGCAACAAUUGGAGGGCAAGUCUGGUGCCAGCAGCCGCGGUAAUUCCAGCUCCAAUAGCGUAUAUUAAAGUUGUUGCAGUUAAAAAGCUCGUAGUUGAACCUUGGGCCUGGCUGGCCGGUCCGCCUCACCGCGUGCACUGGUUCGGCCGGGCCUUUCCCUCUGGGGAUCCCCAUGCCCUUUACUGGGUGUGGUGGGGAACCAGGACUUUUACUGUGAAAAAAUUAGAGUGUUCAAAGCAGGCCUAUGCUCGAAU